rnacentral:rRNA from 1 species
GACGAACGCUGGCGGCGUGCUUAACACAUGCAAGUCGAGCGGAAAGGCCUUUUCGGAGGUACUCGAGUGGCGCACGGGUGAGUAACACGUGGGUGAUCUGCCCUGCACUCUGGGAUAAGCCUGGGAAGCUGGGUCUAAUACCGGAUAGGACCGCACUUUAGUGUGUGUGGUGGAAAGUUUUUUCGGUGUAGGAUGAGCCCGCGGCCUAUCAGCUUGUUGGUGGGGUAAUGGCCUACCAAGGCGGCGACGGGUAGCCGGACUGAGAGGUUGGUCGGCCACAUUGGGACUGAGAUACGGCCCAGACUCCUACGGGAGGCAGCAGUGGGGAAUAUUGCACAAUGGGCGCAAGCCUGAUGCAGCGACGCCGCGUGGGGGAUGACGGCCUUCGGGUUGUAAACUCCUUUCGCCAGGGACGAAGCGUUUUGUGACGGUACCUGGAGAAGAAGCACCGGCUAACUACGUG